rnacentral:rRNA from 1 species
UACGUAUGGGGCGAGCGUUAUCCGGAUUCACUGGGUGUAAAGGGAGCGUAGACGGCAUGUCAAGCCAGAUGUGAAAACCCGAGGCUCAACUUCGGGCCUGCAUUUGGAACUGAUGGGCUGGAGUACCGGAGGGGCAGGCGGAAUUCCUGGUGUAGCGGUGAAAUGCGUAGAUAUCAGGAGGAACACCGGUGGCGAAGGCGGCCUGCUGGACGUGUACUGACGUUGAUGCUCGAAAGCGUGGGGAG